rnacentral:rRNA from 1 species
GUCCACAGCCAUACCACCCUGAGUGCGCCCGAUCUCGUCUCAUCUCAGAAGCGAAGCGGGGUUGGGCUGGUUAGUACUUGGGUGGGAGAAAGACUGAGGGGGGGUGGGUG